ensembl:lncRNA
AGGGAGUAUUGGUACCGGGCAGAGGCUGCGGUCCCACCUCCAAUGCCUCGGGGGUGGCUGCAGCCGCCGGUCCGGGCACAGCGGCCACACGGUGUCACCCGCGUCCCACCGCCGGGCUCCGACAGGGCAGAGCAGCGAUGCUCUCCGGUGAGCGCUCCGGAACAAGGAAGCGCUGCCGGCCUGGAAUCGCAACCCCUUUUUCACGGCGUUUUUGAGAGCUAGGAUGCUGCCAAGUUUUUCCACCUGUUCUUUCCUUCCCCAUCCAUGAGAAAGUCUCCCAGGAGAGGAAUUACCACGGUCCAGUGCAGCCACAAGCAGGUUAAAAAGAAGGAUCCCAGUCCUGCUGCUGAUGGGUCUCCAGACAGCUUGGGUGUAACUUUCCACUUGGAUGUUCACAGUGUUUGGGAUACAGGUUCCUUUUCACAACCUUCCGUGGAAAGCUGCAGGAAUCUUAGUCCCUGCAGAACCCCAGGGAAAUGGCACAAAUGAGUCCUUAUUACACUGCCCUUCCCAUGGCUGUGACACUGAGAUCUGUUGGCUGCUUUGGCAUCAUGAGAACCAAAGGAGGAAAGCCAUCAAAUGCACACGCCUUUUGCAUAAAUCCAUGUUUCCUUAAGCUACUCUACAAGUUGUGUGCUAUCACUAGGGCCAGAGGGGCCAUGUUUGCAUGGAAGGAGGACCACAUGUGUACAUGACAAAGGAUGAAGCGCUGGAAGCUCUUCAUUCUCAUGAGCAAAGGGCUUUGGGUGGGUCCCUUCGUGCCCCUUUCCUCUGCUUAUUUAGGUCCCCCUGACCCAUCGGAGUGGGAGAUCAGGUCUGUUAAGAGCAUAUGGAGUCAUUCCACAUCACUAAGUUAGCCUGGAAAUGGGAGCUGGCAGCAGCUGUUAUGUAUUACCACUCGACAGAGGGUUGGCUGCCUGUCAGAUUUGUCUGUAGAGUCUCCCUGCACAGGCAUGCAUGUCCCCAUUGCAAACAAAUCAGCUUCCCAAAUGACAUCCACAGUGCCUUCUCUUCAGAAACCCCAGAGACUCUCUCAUCCAUCAGAAGCCAGAGCCAAGCCAUGCUAGGAAGCAGCACAGAGGAGUUGGGCUUUGAAUCCCUCUUGUUUUAUGGAUAGGUCAAGACCUCCAGUCACCAGGGUCAUCAAAGCAAUUAGAGAACAUACUUAAUAAAAGCCUGUGAACAUUCAUUAUCAGACAGAUCACUGCUAUGUGUACAAUGGUACAACACAGAGGCAACCAGAUGGCACUGACCUGUACAAACAUCCUUACUGUGCGCAUGGCUUCUGGGGUUUCCCCUCCAGUUUUCCAGUCAUUACCAAUACCACCACUCAGCUGCCUUCAGUCCUUCCCAAGAAGCCAGGAUCUUCUUUUACCACAGGUGUCAUUUAGGAUAUCGCACUCUUCUCUUUCGUCUGAUGAUGAUUCCAACUAAAGUUAGCAGAGACCAUCGGUCCUGAAGUUCUAGAAGCAUCUGAAAGACUCAUCAGACUUCCAGCCCAAGCAUCCUAGCUUGCCUUGGAGAGCUGUGUGAUGCAACAUCUUCCCAAGAGGGCACCUGCUCUCCAAAAAUUGCAUCUCCCCUUGGUAUUUCUGAACACGAUGCUGUCCCUUGCUGAGCAAACAGCAAGAAAGCAAAAUGGAAACAAGGGAAAAUAUGACACCCUCUGCUAAUAAAUGCAAAACGAUGGAAAACAAUUUUGCCAACUAGGCAACUCAAAUUAGACUUAUCUCUCCGAGGAAUAUGGUCGAUUUGUAGCUCUUAUUACAGUGUAAUGCUAUUUCCCUAAAAGUUUGUGUGUGCAUUUUAAUGAAUUCAUAAAACCCGGACUGUAAAAGCCCCAUGGGGGAAACCUGGCAGCUCUUUAAUUCAGCAUUAAAGCUCAACUGAUGUCAAUUGAAUUGAUUUCUGUGCAUAGAAAUUGCAUUCGUUGAAUGAAAACUUUAGCCCUUGCCAUUCCCCCUUUUAAAGCUCACUGUAUUACAGUUGGCUCCUUGAGUCAGGUUCAAUUACAUGUUGAAAGUUUAUAAUCUGGCGUGCUGAAUAGAGGCUGUGAAAUCAAGAGAGAAAACCUAGCUAACCUGAUUAAACCUUAUACCACAGCCGUCCUGGGGCCAGUGAAUCCUUAUUGUAGCACCAGGGGAUGAGUGUGCAGCACGUCCUGAUUGCAGCCCAAGAUUUUAUUCUGGUAACAGCCACA